rnacentral:rRNA from 1 species
UACGAAGGGUGCAAGCGUUAAUCGGAAUUACUGGGCGUAAAGCGUGCGUAGGCGGUUCGUUAAGUCUGUCGUGAAAGCCCCGGGCUCAACCUGGGAAUGGCAAUGGAUACUGGCGAGCUAGAGUGUGUCAGAGGAUGGUGGAAUUCCCGGUGUAGCGGUGAAAUGUGUAGAGAUCGGGAGGAACACCGGUGGCGAAGGCGGGUCUCUGGGCGAUCUCCUGACGCUGAGGCGCGAAAGCGUGGGGAGCAAACGGG